rnacentral:lncRNA from 1 species
CUUUCUUGGAAUUGAUUUUUGUGUUUUGCAAAUGUUUUUGCUGCAUAAGCAGCACAAAGUUUAAAUUCCCAGUCUCCACACUCCUGGUCAGUUAACUGAACAGCAUCUUCCUUUGGAAACCUGCUUACAAGCAGGGUGUAAUCUUUCCUGGAGGUUAAUUUACACUGGAAUUAAUAAAGGUUAAUGAAGUCUUUUGGGAACUCCCCUUUUCCCGUGGGGUGCCGUAUUUAAAGUUAAGCUGCUUCCCUUAAGCAAAACUUUAAGAAAGUGAUUUCCCAGUAGCCAGCAUUCACAUUACCUUCAGCUAUAAAAGUACUGUAUGCAAGGUAUUGAGUGACAUUUUGAAUGUACAAAAGCAAACACUACGUUGCCAAUAUUUUUUUGCAAAAUAUUACUUUGGUUCUUAGGAGGAGCAGUUUCCCACACUCACUUUUGGAUGGUAUUCUAUUUAAAAUACAAUUCUUUUUUUGUCCAGGUCUAUUUGGAAGAACUGAAGGGGGGGGUGUCGAGGGUGAGAAAUCUAAACCACUUUAGAGAGCUCUAGAAAAACUACAUUUUACCAUUGUAAUUUGAAGGACAAAUGGACAAAUGGUUGAAUGUUAAAGCUUUUGUAUCACUUGUCAUUAGCUGGAGCGGCCCAACUCAAGAGGGGAGCACUGGGAAUUGUCCAGUUGGACACUGUUUUUCUGAAUCCAAGUGGGGCACUCACAGAUUCUGGAAAAGAAGCAAAAGCAAAAAAAGGGAAAUGGAAAAUGACUGUGCUCUUCUCUAUACUGCUGCCCCUUCUCUGAACUUGAAUGCUAGAGUAUGUAUUGCAUAAGUAUUUGACGUCAGAUUAUCUUGCAUAGUUGUGAACCAAGAUGAUUCUUUUCCCCUUGAAAAAAGAAGAAGUACUUGUUCAUCCAAAAGCAGUACUCUAAAACUAUUACAUAACACUCAAUUUUAAAUGAUUUGAAAUAAUUUUAAUUGGUACUUACCUGGGAGCCUAUAUCACUUUCAUUUCACCAAGUCUCCCAAAAUGGCUUCGAGAAUUGCCACUCAUCAGCAGCUGUGAAAGUAUGAUAAGACAGGAUGAUGUAUACAAACGAUUUCUUCUUCAGAAGAAUUCAUCCGGAAGAAUUGUCAAAUUAUUUUUAAAUGGCUGUAGUUCUUAUUGAGACAUUGCAAAAGGAGUUUAAAGCUUCACUUGCAUUCUGUGACCUUGCUAUUUGGGAAUCCUACGGUAGAAUCAUGGGAUAUAUUUGAGCUGGAACAUGCUUUGGG